UACGUAGGUGACAAGUGUUGUCCGGAUUUACUGGGCGUAAAGAGCGCGCAGGCGGUCGAUCAAGUCGAGUGUGAAAGCCCCCGGCUCAACUGGGGAGGGUCAUUCGAUACUGAUCGACUCGAAGGCAGGAGAGGGUAGUGGAAUUCCCGGUGUAGUGGUGAAAUGCGUAGAUAUCGGGAGGAACACCAGUGGCGAAGGCGACUACCUGGCCUGUUCUUGACGCUGAGGCGCGAAAGCUAGGGGAGCAAACGGG
rnacentral:rRNA from 1 species